AGCACGCUUAGGCGUGUGACUGCGUACCUUUUGUAUAAUGGGUCAGCGACUUAUAUUCUGUAGCAAGGUUAACCGAAUAGGGGAGCCGAAGGGAAACCGAGUCUUAACUGGGCGUUAAGUUGCAGGGUAUAGACCCGAAACCCGGUGAUCUAGCCAUGGGCAGGUUGAAGGUUGGGUAACACUAACUGGAGGACCGAACCGACUAAUGUUGAAAAAUUAGCGGAUGACUUGUGGCUGGGGGUGAAAGGCCAAUCAAACCGGGAGAUAGCUGGUUCUCCCCGAAAGCUAUUUAGGUAGCGCCUCGUGAAUUCAUCUCCGGGGGUAGAGCACUGUUUCGGCAAGGGGGUCAUCCCGACUUACCAACCCGAUGCAAACUGCGAAUACCGGAGAAUGUUAUCACGGGAGACACACGGCGGGUGCUAACGUCCGUCGUGAAGAGGGAAACAACCCAGACCGCCAGCUAAGGUCCC
rnacentral:rRNA from 1 species